AUAAUAGUGGCUAGAGUCACGUUGACAUCGUGGAGGUCACAGGUUCGAGUCCCGUUACGUCCA
rnacentral:tRNA from 4 species